GGCAGCAAGACUAUGACCUCCUGGUGAUUGGCGGGGGAUCUGGCGGCCUGGCCUGUGCCAAGGAAGCUGCUCAGUUGGGAAGGAAGGUGGCCGUGGUGGAUUAUGUGGAACCUUCUCUGAGAGGCACCCGUUGGGGUCUUGGUGGUACCUGUGUCAACGUUGGCUGUAUCCCCAAGAAACUGAUGCACCAGGCAGCCCUGCUGGGGGGCUUGAUCCAGGACGCCAGCCACUACGGCUGGGAGGUGGCCCACCCCAUCCCACACAACUGGCAGAAAAUGGCGGAAGCUGUUCAGAACCAUGUCAAGUCUUUGAACUGGGGGCACCGAGUCCAGCUGCAUGACAGAAAGGUCAAGUACUUCAAUAUCAAAGCCAGCUUUGUCAAUGAGCACACGGUGCGCGGCCUGACGAAAGCGGGGAAGGAGACUCUGCUUUCGGCUGAGCACAUUGUCAUUGCUACUGGAGGACGACCAAAGUACCCUGUGCACGUUGAUGGUGCCCUGGAGUAUGGAAUUACAAGCGACGACAUAUUCUGGCUGAAGGAGUCCCCCGGAAAGACGUUGGUGGUCGGCGCCAGCUAUGUGGCACUGGAGUGUGCUGGCUUCCUCUCCGGGGUGGGCCUGGACACCACCGUGAUGAUGCGCAGCAUCCCCCUGCGGGGCUUUGAUCAGCAAAUGGCCUCCUUGGUGACAGAACACAUGGCAUCUCACGGCAUCGAGUUCCUCCAGGGCUGCACGCCCUUGCGGGUUGGCAGGCUCCUGGACGGCCGCCUCCAGGUGACCUGGCAAGAACACGCCUCUGGCAAGGAAGACUCGGGGACCUUCGACACUGUCCUGUGGGCCAUUGGUCGAGUUCCAGAAACGAGGGGUCUGAAUUUGGAGAAGGCGGGGGUACGCAUCAACCCCGACAGUCAGAAGAUAGUGGUCAAUGCCAAGGAAGCCACAUCGAUUCCCCACAUUUAUGCCAUUGGAGACGUGGUGGAGGGGCGGCCCGAGCUCACACCUACGGCCAUCAUGGCAGGAAAGCUGUUAGCCCGGCGGCUCUUUGGUGGAUCCUCAGCCCUGAUGGAGUACGACAGUGUGCCCACAACAGUCUUCACCCCGCUGGAGUAUGGCUGCGUGGGGCUGUCGGAAGAGGAGGCCAUCACUCGCCAUGGGCAGGAGCACGUGGAGGUCUAUCACUCGCAUUAUAAACCACUGGAAUUCACGGUCCCUGCGCGAGAGGCGGCCCAGUGUUACAUAAAGAUGGUGUGUCUUCGGGAGCCCCCCCAGCUGGUGCUCGGCCUGCACUUCCUCGGACCCAAUGCUGGUGAAGUCACUCAAGGAUUUGCUCUGGGAAUCAAGUGCGGGGCGUCAUACGAGCAGAUAAGGCGGACUGUGGGUAUCCACCCAACCUGUGCUGAGGAGGUGCCCAGGCUGCACAUCUCCAAGCGCUCAGGCCUGGAUCCCACUGUGACCGGUUGCUGAGGGUAAGCUGCCAUAUCUGCAGGGCCGGGCACAGCGCACAUCACCACACCACAGCACACGCUAUGGCCGUCAUCACUGCUGCCAGGCUUCACAGAGUCCCGGAUGCAGAUCGGCAGCGGGACCUGCCCUGACUUGGUGUCCAUGCAGAAAGGAAGGCCAAGCCUGGGCCAGUGUGGUGUUUCGGCCAUGUCUACACAGCCUGCCCAAGUGCCCUGCAGAGAUGGCUCAAGUGGGGCUCUCUGCCCCCCACCAACUCCCUGGCCCUCUCCCGAUUGGGGCAAUUCAGCAUCCCCUUGCCCCCACCUCAGCGCCAGAUGAUGAAGACAUGUGCAGAAACCCAGCCCGUGGGCUGCCCAUGUCUGAGCCCCCUGACGUUUCUGGAGUGCAAAUAAAGAGGGUUUCUCUCCCCCACCCCA